rnacentral:miRNA from 1 species
GCAGACACAUUCCAGCCAAUCAGCAGCAGACCCUCCCUCCCAGACCCUCCCACCUCCUGGACAGCAUCCAUUUUACAUUCAUUGUGAAGCUGCAUUCUUAGUGAGCUGUCCAGGAGGUGGGAGGGUCUGGGAGGGAGGGUCUGCUGCUGAUUGACUGGAAUGUGUCUG